UUUUUUUUUUUUACAAUUUAUAUAAAAUUUGUUAAUAUUAAUAACAAUUUUAAGUAUUCUGAUUGAUUUAAAUAACUGUUAAAUUUAAGUAUUUUACAUUAAUUACAUUACAACAUGGAUGCAAUUAAUAAGGUGAUUAUCAAAUUUGCCCUUACAAAUGUAAUAAUAGCCCUGGAAACAUUGCCUCAUAAUGGAAAAGCUGAUUUCUUACCCUGGCUGAGCCAAUGAUCUAGACUAAUGGUAAAGAAGUCUAGAGUUGUGAAGCUGUAUCUGUCAUAAUGUUGUGUCUGAAAUUGUACAGGAAAAUCGAAAAAUAUCUACAUGACUUGGAAGGGGAAACUUUCUGGAGUGACACUAAUGAUAAUGAUGUUUCGCACUCAACAAAGGGGACUGAAGAAUCCACCCCCAUAGAUACAGGCCUCCAAGGCAAUAUACUUUUACAACCAGAAACCACAACAGAGUCACCAUCCAUCGAAAAACAGGUGAAAAGGUUUGUUUGUCAUCCAGCUUUCAGUAGACAUUUGGAAACUGAAGCUUGUCAAAUGCUAUUCUUUUGAAUUUUAUAAAUUGAAGUAUUGCAUUCUUUUAGAAUG